GAUGAACGCUGGCGGCGUGCCUAAUACAUGCAAGUCGAGCGAACGGACGAGAAGCUUGCUUUUCUGAUGUUAGCGGCGGACGGGUGAGUAACACGUGGAUAACCUACCUAUAAGACUGGAUAACUUUGGGAAACCGGAGCUAAUACCGGAUAAUAUUUUGAAACGCAUGGUUCAAAAGUGAAAGACGGUCUUGCCGUCACUUAUAGAUGGAUCCGCGCUGCAUUAGCUAGUUGGUAAGGUAACGGCUUACCAAGGCAACGAUGCAUAGCCGACCUGAGAGGGUGAUCGGCCACACUGGAACUGAGACACGGUCCAGACUCCUACGGGAGGCAGCAGUAGGGAAUCUUCCGCAAUGGGCGAAAGCCUGACGGAGCAACGCCGCGUGAGUGAUGAAGGUCUUCGGAUCGUAAAACUCUGUUAUUAGGGAAGAAUAUAUGUGUAAGUAACUGUGCACAUCUUGACGGUACCUAAUCAGAAAGCCACGGCUAACUACGUG
rnacentral:rRNA from 1 species